GCCACAAAGAGCUAGGCAUAAAGACAAUUCAAACAGAGAUGAUGUACCUUACAACAUAAUGUUCUAAAAGUCAGACAAGGGGAAUAAAAAUAAGCAGUAAACCGCAUUUGUCCACAAGUCUCAACAUCCAACAACAGCAGGUUACAAAAACCACCAAAACAUUUGAACGAAAAGUUGUUCCCACAGAUGUGCUUGGGAAAAAUCAUCAACGAUAUGCAGGAGCUGCACCUGCAAAGGAGUAAAGGGAGGAAACAGGCACACUAGGCACAUUCAACCUGCCACCUGGAACACUCUGGGCACUUUCAGGAUAUGCACGGCUUGGAGCUUCAUAUGAGCGGCCGGGAGCAUCAUACUCAAAGCCUCGUGGUGCUUGAUAGGCAGCAUUAGCACCAGCAUGUUCAGAAUAGUAAGGACCACUAACAGAGCGGUAGUCCCUUGCAGGAGCUUGUGGUGGGGGAUCCCUUGAAACCAUCUCUUGAUAACGUUCAGGGUAGGAUUGACUUUCUGGAUAGUAAGCUCGUCCAUCAACUUGGUGAUAUUGAUCAGUUGGAGGGGCAGAAUAAUAUGGAUCAUUGGGAUGCACCAAACGACGAGGUUCUGGUGCAGGAGCACGUCCAGAAGGUGGUGCAUAAGGAUCAUUUGCUGGAGGGUCAUACGGAGAGACAUAUCUGGGGUCAUAAGCAGGUGGGGCACGGGCCGUACGCCCAGACCGAUAAGGCUCCUCAGGUAAAGCAUAAUGAGGGGGCCUCUGCUCAGGUAACGCAUAAUGAGUAGGAGGCCUCUGCUCAGGCAAAGCAUAACGAGUAGGAGGCCUCUGUUCAGGCAAAGCAUAAUGAGGAAGCCUCUGUUCAGGUAAAGCAUGAUGUACAGGGGCCCUUUGUUCCUGCUCCAAAGGGAGGGGUUGGAACAGUGCAUGUAACCUAUGCACCUGUUUGGAAUUCAGGUCAGGUUUAAAUCUACCACGGGCUUCAUAAUUUUCUUCUAUGGCAAUCUUAAAAACACGUUCAGGAAUAGGAAGGCAAUCCUUGUCUAUCUUAAAUUUCACCUGUGCUGGGAAUCUCCCACCAAAUGCUUCCCUCACGAGAUCCAACCCACCACUAGAAAUCGCUCUGUAAGUCCCAUACAGAAGCUUCUGAUCAAAAUCAUACAGAAACAACUUCGCCCCAGGCUUGAUCCGCUCGACCAGCUCAAUUUUCCCCUUCGGCAGCCCGAACACCCGGUGCUGAAAGCACUCCGCCUUGGUGCUAUUGCUACACAUGAAGAUAAACCCAGAGCUCGGCUGUGCCGCCUCCUUCCGCCCAUUACCCUGCUCCUUCACCGCCACAUCACCAUCGGCAGCUGCGGCCGCCGCCUUAGCCUUCCCCUUGGCGGAUUCGGCCGGAGUGUUCUUGCCUUUGAAGCUCUUCUUGAACUUCGAAGGUUUCGGGGUCGACGGCCCGGCGCCGGCAGCAGCGGCGGCAGCUGGCUUGGCCUUCGACUUCUUCGUCCUCACCAUAGCUGAUUACUGCA
rnacentral:misc_RNA from 1 species